CCAAUCAUUAUGCCAAGAUGAUAGAAAUUUUCAGAGUGGCCGAAGCCAUGCUCAGUUCCCAGAGAUGUGGUACCCUUUCCAUAGUGCAGAUCUUCAGUGCUGUAGAAUGCUUCAUCAGAAUCAACAAAGAAGAGGAUCUAAAACAUCUGUGUGGAUCAUGAGAAUUCUCCUGUAACCUGCAUGAGUGCAGUCAAGAAUCCAGACUCCUCCCUCAAGGAGUCUAGUCUAAAAGGCAAAGUUGCACUGAACAUCAGGAGAGAGAUACCAACCAAUUGGAAUAUUGUACAAGUUAAGCAUGAACUGCAUGCAGAAUGUUGAGCCAUACCAGCUGAAAAUAAGGAAAUGUUACUUAUGUAACCUCUUCUGGCUUCAGUUUCCUCCUAACCUUUGUGAAAUGGAGAAGAAAAUAAUGCUCUGUUAUUUUCUAUCUGUUAUGCGGUCAAAUUCUACUCUAGACAGUUGUGACUAAUGGGCAGGUCUCUCCUCUCAGAAACUCAAGCCUUCCUUCCUGCAGUGCACUGAAUCCCAAGCAACAGGGUAACAAUUGAAAGGGCAUGUUCAAAACAUGCAAAUUGCUAAGUAAGUGCUUGCUCUUCAACACAUCCAAAUAUGUAGAUUUGGACUGUUAAUCCAGCCUGCCAUGAUAUUUUUACACAGCACAGUUUGGUAUUUAAAGAAUAUGACUCUGGAUUUAGAACUUCUGGUUUGAAUCCCAAUUGUUUACUGGCAGCAUGACCUUGCUAAAUAACAUGAAUCCUAUGUCCCCUGGUUUCCUCAUAUGUAAUAUUGGGACAAUACUUACAGGAUUGUUGUGAAGAUUAAAUGAAUUAAUACCCAAGGCAUAGAAGUAUGCCUAGAAAAAUUAAAAUCCCUCAAAAUAUUGUUAUCUUGGAGCACAACAGGAGAGGUGAUCAAAGGGAAUGAUUGGAAGCUUACUUCUUCUAGGGAAGAUUCUAUGUCCUGGGGAAAAAAUCUGAUUUUUUGCAUCUUACAAAUUUUAUUAGUCUAUUAUUGUAUGAAAAUUAGUCAUGAUAUAUCCUAAACAUAUUUUCAAUUUCUAUAAUUUCUAUUUCUGAAUAAUAAUUCUUAAGAACAAUUUUAAAACACAGUGCCUAGGAGGAAUUACUAAAAAUUCCUGGGACAUCUUUAGAUCUUUAGAUCUCCAAAAGGCUCUGGGCAUGGUGGGGUCAAAGCUUAUACCUCCAAGGAGAAAAUAAUGAUAAAUUUUUAUGCAUAUAUGUAUGUGCAUGUACAUAUGAUGUGCUAAAAAGUUGUAAGUAGAAAAUGGAAGAAUUCGAGAAAGAGGGAUAUAAGGGACUUAAAGGGUGGUAGGAUCUGCUGGGGUGAUGAUGAGGGUCAGGGCUUUAGUUUUUAAUUUCCUCUUUUUGUCCCUUCCUCCUAUACUCAAGAAGUCUCUUGUUUCUUAGCUAUGUUGUGUGGGUCUGGAACUCUAGAACGGAGUGGGUAUUCUCUGUGCAAAUCUGCCUGAAGCAGCAGUAAGCUUCAGAUAAUGGAGACCUUUGUCUGAUUGCUUCUGCAUUUCAGUGAGCCCUGGGACAUUGAUUCCACCUUUUAUCUUUUGUGUGGAAUUGGAGUCAUCUUUCUGUCUUGUUACUGCAUUCACUGGUGAACAUAUUUCUCAGUAGCUGGAAAAAAAAGAAACAUUGAUCAGGUAAGGGAACCCUCAGUUCAGUUUUUUUACUCCCUUUAUUCUAAAGUAAUUAUUAGAAUAGAGAGAUAGCAGGAAGGAGAAUUCCUCAGGAGAGAUCAGGACAUCCUUCAGGAGAAUGAGUUGUGUGGGCAAAAGAUAGGGCGGGGACAAAGGUUUUUAUUCAAGAGUUCACAGAUCAUCUGCUUAGUUGCGGUAAGAAGAUCCAGAGUAAAAUCUCAAAUAUUGUGAUUCAUGGGCCAUGAAUUGGUUUUAUAAAGAGAACUCAGAAAACCCAAGGAGAGUUUUGUCUUCAAUGCUCAGCAGCUGCCUUACCAUCAUAGAUGUCUCUGGGACAAGCCUCUCCUUAUUAGGUUUAACCUGGAGAGCAAUGCUGAGCCUCUGAAAGCCUACUCCUGGUAUAGAAUUAAACAGAGUGGAACAUACAUAUUCCUGAUGAUAUGGGAUUCUAUGUCCUUUACAGUAGAGGACUACCAUUUGAAUAACAGUUGAGGACUGUAAAUAGUAAACCGUUCUUUGAGUAUACAAAGAAUCGGUAGGAAAUAUAUCAACUUUAAAAGUGAAUAAUGGAAGAAAUAUAACCCAAAUCAAUAUAGAAUGUCACAUUAUUAAUACUGGAUGUCUGCUGCUUGCUUAGAUUGGAGAGAGUGAGAAAUGGGUUCCACCUCUCAUUUUUUUUUCCUUUCAGUGGCAGGAAGAGAAACAAAGCGAGAGCUUUCAAAGAUUUCACUAUUCAAUCCAGGGCUCUCCCAGAGAUAAUCAUAUGUUUCUCUUUAUAAGGUCUCAGUUACAGAAUUGCUGAGGGUAUCGGUUCCUAAAGUUAAUCCUCAAAAAACCCCGCUCUUUGAGGGGAGGCCUUCAGGAAGUAAACCAGAAUCGGGGACACUUCGCAUUCUCAAGGGAAUUCUUCAAUCCUGAUGGAGAUGGGCUGUGGCUCUUGCCAGUGAGGUGGUGGUGUGAGAUUUAGAAGAAGCAUAGGUUAUCGUGGAGGCAAAUUGUGGGUCUUGACUUUGUACAAGUUAAAUUCCCUAAUUUUCAGACUCAUCCUUUGAAAGAGCAUCUGGCUUGCUACCCUCUGUUGUGAUAAUCCCCUGUGUGGAAUCCUUUUCUAAUGAGACAGCCUUAUACGUAUGUUAGCCUUACUAUUGUCAUUAACUUUCUGAUAGUAAGUGCUAAUUCCUGGGAAGUUCUCAGGGACAAAUUUUGAAAUGUCUUUUCCUAGUUGAACAUUCUACAGAGACUCCUGAAAGAUCCCUUGUUACUUUCUUCAACCCAUUUGUUAUUUCCCUAAUAAGAGCUUUCCUGAAAAGCAUCAAAAUGGCCAUAGACCAACUUUCUCUUCGGAAAUGAUGAUUUAAUCUCUACAACUUCCCCUCAUAUCACACUUCCAGGCUUGCUCCUUGGAAUUCCAGGAUCUCAUAGCAGCCUAGGGGAUGGCAUGAAAAGGAGACCCACGGGGGGAGUGAAUUAUGAAAGGAAGCCUGGAGUGGAGGGAUAAUUGGAGUAUCAUGAAGUCAGGAAGGUGUAGAAAUGUACAUUGUCAGACCUCAAGGCAAAACCAUCCCCACUCUCUCCUGGAUGCCCUUUUUACUUUGUCUUUUAUAGGCACCUACACAAGCUCUCUUGAGGGUAGCUUUCCAGAGCAGUUAGAACAAGAUCCAUUUCCAAGGAUCUUGAGCAAAACUAUGGAAGCAGACAUUCUGUUGUAGGAGGAUCUGGGGAAAAUGCUGUUCUCAUUCUCAUCUUUGGGAUUCACUGAAUUGUGAUUCACUCUGGUCUCCAAUCACCUACUAGAAUGAACCAUCUUACUUUUCUUGUUUUCACUGUCCAUUCUGGGUGCCUUUCUUCCAUCAGAACUGCAUUCAACAUUGUUUGUGUGCCCUGUCACACUACCUCCUGAUUUUUCCUCCUAUACCCCUAAAGACUACUCAAUUAUUGGAUCUUAUUCCUCAACUAGUCCUCUUUUCUCUCUGGGCUUUAACUCCUCACUUGGUCCUACAUUUUCCCAGUACACUUUUCCUCUUUGGGUAUGCAUAUUGCAAAGGCAGACUUCAUGGAUGGGGCCUCAUAGCUCCUUGAAGAAAAUCCUUAAGGGAGGAUACCAGAAGAAAAAUUCAGUAUCUGGCCUGCGUAGCUCACUUCCCAAAUCCUUUUCUCUGUGUUAAGAAGGAUGGAUGGACAUAAAGUAAUUGUCCUAAAUUUUUUCUCAUACCUCAUGGUCUCAGGAUAAAGAGGAGAGUAAACAGGAUAAGAAUCUAUCGCCAAUUUAAGAGAGAAAGGGCCAUAAAACCUCAGGUGACCUGAGCUAAAGCAUGUCAAAUAGGGAAUGCAAGAUUGGAGAUCUUCUACCUAAAAAAGAUUCUUCUUAGGGGAGACUGUCAGAAGAGAACCCUGUAAAUAAGUCACCCUAGUUCCUACUAUAGGACCUGCCAAAGAGCACUUUAGAAGUGUUUGUUGCAGUGUCUUCAUCCAUUAUAAAGAGUGAAGAGACAGAAAGAUCAUUGCAUGAAACCAAGUUUGCUGCUGUGCAGAGCUCAGAUCCUCUAGAAAUCAGACUUGCCUCAUUGGACAAAGGGGACAUUGAAACUCAGAAGAACAAGCCCAGUCAUUGGCCAGAUCUUCCAGGAGAAAUCCAGUUUAGGUAUGAAAUCAAUGUAAAGAAAGCAAGUCCACCUGAGGAGAAGCUUAAGACUAAGGCAAAUUUCAACAAUACAUUUUCCUGUGAUUACCAGGUUUGCUACAUUCUUGAGGAAAUGAAAGGGCUGCAGAUGACAUCUUGACACCUUCAAGUAUACUCUUAAGCUUCUGAACAGUCUAAACAAUACUAGACAAGUAACAGAAUAAUUAAACCUAUGAAAAAUAAAGGUUCCAGGAUGAGAUAGUAUGACUGAAGCAACCCAACUUCAUUUUCUUCAGGGAGGUUUCUUCUGGGUAAAGUCUUCUUUCACUCCUGUAAACCCAGCAAAAUUCUCACAUUAACACUCUUCUGAAGAAGAUGGGUUCGGUUUCAAAUAAUAAGCAGUUUUGUUCUUCUCAAAUAUAUUUUUUCCACUAAAAGGAGAAUGGUGUCUUUGUUGUAUUUGGGGGGAAGUUUAGAGUACCCCAAGCACUGGGGCUUAGAGGGAGCAAAGGUUAGUUUGUUUCUAGAGCUGGCUUUGACUUCUUGUGGAUGAGGAUUAAGGAAAGCAAGUUUGUUCCAUUUUCUGAGGAAAUCCUAUUUAAAUUGGUCAUUAGAAUGCUUUUCUUAUAGAAACAAAAAAACCUCCAUAAAUUUAAAACUGAUUAAAGAAUAUACCCCUGGAACUACUGGAUUCUUAGUUUUUCCCCUGUUUCAUCAUAGUUUUGAAGUAUACACCACCCUAGGUUUGAAUAGCUGGAGUAGAGUUACACAGGCAUCAUAGGGCCAAAAUUUCCCACUGAGACAAGAAACUUCACAUAUCUCAACAAUUGAUAAUGGAGUUUGAACAUCUUGGGGUCUUUAGUACAGGAAAGUAAGGGCAACUCUACAUGACCACAAAUCUUCCAUCUCUUUUCAAAAGUCCCCUGACAAUUUUGAUGGUAGCUGGAAGAAUGAGCACUGCUACUGAAUGUGUAACUUUUCCUUAAAGAAAAUGUAAAAGUCACAACUGUUCCUUCCUCUAUGACAAGCUCUGGAUUAGGAGGAGACAAAGAACCCUUGGCUGUGUUUUAGUGGGUAGGGGACAACAGGCUGACAGAAGGGUUAGGGUCUUAGAAAACCUGAGUUGAACAUAUUUUUAUUAGGCUAGAAAAUAAUUUUCCAUGUAUCUUUUAAUUCUCAGUUCUCCCUCCAGCCAGUACACAACUGAAGCAUAAAAGUUGAUCCAUAUUGGGUCACCUUUUCCCAUCCAGCAAAAGAUAACAUCCCCCUGAAAGCACCUGGGAAUAAGUGUUUUCCAAAAAGCUGUGGAUAUGAGUGUUAGAAAAGUGGUUUCUGUCCAUUGGACAUAGAGCUGGAUGACCUUCAAGGUGGCAGAUGUUUGGGAGCUAUACUGAGAUAGACCAUCAAAUGGAUGUGGCAAGACCAAAAUAUGUAAGCACUAGUUAAGGAGCUACUGUGUCUAUGGGGUUCAAUGAUCUUGAAAUAAAAUUUGAACUCAGUUCUCCUUGA